GUAUGGCUGUUCGCCAUUUAAAGAGGUACGUGAGCUGGGUUCAGAACGUCGCGAGACAGUUCGGUCCCUAUCUGCCGUAGGCGUCGGAGAAUUGAGAGGAGCUGCCCCUAGUACGAGAGGACCGGGGUGGACGUACCUCUGGUGGACCUGUUGUGGCGCCAGCCGCAGUGCAGGGUAGCUAUGUACGGUCGGGAUAACCGCUGAAUGCAUCUAAGCGGGAAACCCACCUCAAAACGAGAUAUCCCUUGAGAGCCGUGGAAGACGACCACGUUGAUAGGCCGGGUGUGUAAUCCCAGUAAUGGGUUCAGCUUACCGGUACUAAUUGCUCGAUCGGCUUGAUCGU
rnacentral:rRNA from 1 species